CAUGAUUGUCAUUAGACAUGAAAACCGUCUGUCAGCGCAACGCCGCGAUUCCACUGGUCGUUGGUGGACCAUGGAGGCGGGUCUCUGUGUGCCGGUCCACCGACUUCCUAUUGGUAAUUAGGGCCGUCAUUCAGUAAAACUAUCCGUUACGAUUGGCCAGAGACCCCCUCAGUGGGCGAGUUCAUGCGCAAGUGGUAUGUGCACCACAGCGGCAGCUCUGGGGGCGGAGGCUGGACUGUAAAUGGCCAAGGCUGACGUCGGUCAGCGGGAUUGUGCGUUGCCGUUCGCAGGCACUGGCAGGGGGCGGGUCUCUGUCCCUGCCGCGGCAGUAGGAGGAACCGGAGCCGCUGUCGGGGGCUGGUGAUGGGGUCAGUUCUCCCUCGUGUGUGAAUCUCCGUCACCGAGCCGGCCCCGUCGCCGCCCUUAUCCGCCCGGCUGUGUUAGCGCCAAAGCGGCAUCUAAAAGGGAUGGUAUUCUUGAUCGAAGACAGUAUAUUUCAGUCCAGGAUUCUACACUGGUGACAAGGACAUGGGACUCCUCCUGCCAUAUUCCAGAUGGUUCA